CCGAUUAUUAAGUUGGCGUGCUCCGAUCUCCUGCAUACCUAAACCGGCGGUCACCGGGUUGAAGAUAAAGUCGCCAGACGUGAACCCAGGCGACCAAGUGAUUAGAGAUCGCCAAAACAAGGACAUCGCCGAAGAUGGAGUCAGAUAGUCAUUUCCCAGCUGGCCAGAGGGUGAGCUCGAGAGACAGCUCACCUGAACAUACACGGUGAGGCAAGAAGAGUAGAUCAUGAAGGCGGCCGGCGAGACCACAGGGAAGGUGUGUACGAAGGCACCCGAACUCGCCACCCAGAAGAGAUCACGCUCCAAGGCAACUAUGCACUGAGUUGUGUCAUGCAUAAGUAACUUAGCCAAAACCCUGAAGAGUAAGAAGUGGC
rnacentral:lncRNA from 1 species